AGUGAGCAAAAGAACAGAGUGGCACAAUGACAUAGAUCGAGUGGCAUUCGAUAAAGUUAAUGUGAAAUGACACUAGAGUUAGUGUGAUGUAAAGAAUUAAAGUGAUGUAAAGAAUGAUGAAAAUAACGACGAGUAAAGCUAAAGUAAAGUGGGCAACAAGAACAAGAAUGCUAGAGUUAGCAAAAGUAAAAGAAAUGCAAAGAACAAUGAUUGCUAGAGUUAGCAAGAGUAAUGAGAAUGUAAAGAAUGUGAUUGCAUGAGUUUGCAACAUAAUGUGAUUAAAGAACACUAGAGCUAGUGUAAAGUCAAGAUUGAACUUAUAAUCCUUUGAGUUAAGGAUAUGAUCAUACUUGCUAUGAGUUCCGUGCUCGAGGGCGGUCGCUCCCCCUCGGGCGAUGCGCUCCGGAGUUAUGCAUCCGGGUUGGAGUAGACCCGUAAGGACGGUCCUAGCUGGUGAGUUCCUGCGAUGAUGGACUUAAUGUGAAGCAAGUUAAUGUGGCGAAACCCCCGGGUUAGCCUUGAGAUUAAAAGAACAAAGAGCAAAGAACAAAGUGUAAAGAACAAAGAACAAGAGUAAAGUGAAAAGAAUAAAGAAUUUGCAUAAUCUGCAUAUAUUUAAUGUUGAGCAUAUUUCUUGCUAUUUGUUCAGGCAUAUUAGCAUCAUGUAAUAGAAUGGUUACUAUCUUACUUAUCCUUUCUAUUAUGCCUGAGUUAGUCCUAGUGGGAAAGUCGGUGAUGUUGGGGCCGAACCCACUGGGAACUUUGUUGUAGUUCUCACCCCACUAUUUCCACAGAGCCGGGACCGAGUGAGCCGGCGAGCGACCGAGGUAAAGGAAUCGCGCCUUAGUCAGAGGCCACCGAUGUUGGGUUUCAUUUUGUAGUAAAGUACCUUAUGAUCAUCUUUUGUAUUUGAUGAUUAGUGAUGUAAAGAAAAGAUGUAAAGCUUAUUUUGAGGAAAAUGUGAUGUAAGAAAGAAAUGAUGAAGUUAUGUAAUGAAAUGCAAAGAAUUCAAAAAAUUACUAGUUGAAUGCAAUGUAUAUGAUCCAAAAAGAAUCAUGUUACUUGUGAAUGUUUAGUUUCCUUUUCUUUCACUAAUGGCUAUUGCUUACCCUCGUGUAAGCCGUUUGUGUAUGUUUCCGCUAGUGCACUUCUUAUUGAAAAUGUACAUGUGAUGAGCCUUGGGCGGAUAGGGGAAACUCUGUCCGUUCGGCGUCUGUUUGACGUGCUCGGGUCGGGCCAAAUUGGCAUCGGUCCCGGGGCGUGACAUGAAUCAUUUAAUGCAAUAAUUUCAGGAGAUGCAGAAAUAUCAGAUGCAGAAAUAUCAGAUGCAGAAAUGUUAUCAUUCACAGGCAAUACAAAAGGAGAAUCAUCAUCAUCAUCAUUCAACAAAGCAUUGGAAAAAUCAUUCACAGAAG
rnacentral:lncRNA from 1 species